rnacentral:rRNA from 1 species
UAGAGUUUGAUCCUGGCUCAGGAUGAACGCUGGCGGUCUGCUUAACACAUGCAAGUCGAACGCAACCUUCGGGUUGAGUGGCGGACGGGUGAGUAACGCGUGAGAAUCUGCCUUGGGGUCGGGGACAACCACUGGAAACGGUGGCUAAUACCGGAUAAGCCUUUGGGUAAAAGAUUUAUUGCCCCAAGAGGAGCUCGCGUCUGAUUAGCUAGUUGGUGAGGUAAAAGCUCACCAAGGCAGCGAUCAGUAGCUGGUCUGAGAGGACGAUCAGCCACACUGGGACUGAGACACGGCCCAGACUCCUACGGGAGGCAGCAGUGGGGAAUUUUCCGCAAUGGGCGAAAGCCUGACGGAGCAAGACCGCGUGAGGGAGGAAGGCUCUUGGGUUGUAAACCUCUUUUCUCAGGGAAGAAGCUCUGACGGUACCUGAGGAAUCAGCCUCGGCUAACUCCGUGCCAGCAGCCGCGGUAAUACGGAGGAGGCAAGCGUUAUCCGGAAUUAUUGGGCGUAAAGCGUCCGCAGGUGGCGAUCCAAGUCUGCUGUCAAAGCACGGGGCUUAACUCCGUUAAGGCAGUGGAAACUGAAUAGCUAGAGUGCCGUAGGGGUAGAGGGAAUUCCCGGUGUAGCGGUGAAAUGCGUAGAGAUCGGGAAGAACAUCGGUGGCGAAAGCGCUCUACUGGACGGCAACUGACACUCAGGGACGAAAGCUAGGGGAGCGAAUGGGAUUAGAUACCCCAGUAGUCCUAGCUGUAAACGAUGGAUACUAGGUGUAGCUUGUAUCGACCCGAGCUGUGCCGAAGCUAACGCGUUAAGUAUCCCGCCUGGGGAGUACGCACGCAAGUGUGAAACUCAAAGGAAUUGACGGGGGCCCGCACAA